AGAGAGAGAGAGAAGCCUAAUAGAGGCCAGAGCCAAACUCGCUGUUGACCUUGACUCUUCUUAGAAGUGUGGAGAGUUAGCUUCUGCUGUUGGGGACUUCAGAAUGUGGUACCUCUGGUGGCCCCGGAGAGCUAGCGUAGGCCUCUGAGCACCGUGUUGCUCUCCUUCCUCUUCCACAGCUAAGAUGGCACCCUUGAGUGGCACCGGCUUGAUGCAGGGUCUCUUUUUGUUUUGUUCUAGAUGGUCUUGAUUUGGGAGACAAGAACUCGCCACACGGACUCGAUUUCAUCUUCAGUUUUGUCCUUUGACAUUUCCAAAUAAAAUACAUGAAACCCUUCACACUUCAAUUUUAGAUAGAUUCUUAGUAUGGGUUUAUGCCAAAAGUAUGUACCAAAAAUACUUUAUCUGUCAUUCAAAUUCAACAGGAAUCCAAAUCCCCUUUAUUUUGUCUGAUAAAUUUGGAGUCUUGUCCUUCCUGUUUUUUCCCAGUGUGCCUUAUGUUACAGUGGCGGGAGAACAAUCUCAACGUAGUGUUAGGUGGACCCUUCCAUACUAUGACCCAGCCAGAGGACCUGUUUGUUUAUUUACUUGUUCGUUCAUGUGUUUGUUUUUUAAAAACAUCCUCACAUAGUCAAGGGUGGCCUCACACUGUAUUGUACCCAGGGCUAUCUUGAGUUGUUGAUCCCCUUGGCCUAGGAGAUCUGGGAUUACAGGCAGCCACCAUGGCACCUGUAGCACCCAUGCCACUAUAGGACAUUACGUGAGCCAGGAACUAGGCUGGAGACUUAAAAACACAUGCACACAGACAGACAGAGACACGGGGAAACGGGUCAUCCUUGAUACAAGAAUGCCAACUUUAUUGUGCCCCAGGGAAGCUUGUAGGGACCCUUAACUGAUAGCCAUGCCCCAGCUCUCGGGAUCAUUCAGCUGCAUCAGGAGAUGCCAUCAGGGUCUCGUGCUCAGAGCAGCUGCAGGCACAGGGGUUUUGCUCAGUUCACUCCAGCAGGCAAGGGGUCUGAGGCAGGCAAAGAAAGUCAGGGGGCCAGGAGUCUGCAGCUCCCAACAACACCCAGUUGAGGAAGUGCUGGGAACGGAACCCACACUUUGUGCAUGCUUGGCACAUUCUACUAACUGAACUACAGCCCCAGCCUCAACACGAUCUUUUUAAAAAGCUCACGGGUGAUUUUACUGCACAGCCGGGGGCUAGGACCAACCACCAUAUGGAGGGAUGGGGAUUAACUGUUAUUAACUGAAUGUUGGCUAUCAGGUCAUUGGAUUGGGGCUCCUUUAAGUUGAAGCACUUGUAAGUUUUGUUCUGCUCGGAGAAGUAUCAACUUAUCAGAAGUAUCAACUUCUGAGCCCAGAGGCCAGAGGUCAAGGAGAUCAUGAAGAAAUAGCUGCCAGUGUGUGAAAUGGUCAUCUUAUUCGGGUCAACUGAGCCCAUAAAGCUGUAUCACUGACACCACUGUGCCAGCUGACCCCCCGCUCUGACCCUUCAGGUUGGGAGCUAACGAGUGCGGCUGGGCAUCCUGGGGAAAGAUUUACCUGCUGCAAUUCCUUUUCUUACAGUCCAGUGCUCGAGACUGUGGAGGUUUUUUUAAGCACACUUCUACUUCAAGAGGAGUUAAACAUGACUUCAUUCAGUCUUUUCAGCUUCGAAGAUUUGCCCCUUUUAGCCGUCGAUCAGCUAAACCUUACCUGUUCCUCAGUGUCUGCUGAAAUAUUCAUAGACGGUAAAGGCACGAUUGGUGUCAGCCUUGAACACCAGCAGUCUCAUAGCCAUGCUUGCUCUGAAGAUCAGCAGAUGACUAAGCCACCGGAGAGGCGGAAUAGCUCAGGAGCUCUCCACAGAGUUCUUUGCCUAGAGAAGUGUUACCAAUUGGACUGUCAGGCAGACUCCGGGACAGUCCUGUUCCUUGGGCUUUGUGUUUUACUUGAUCUUUGUGCACACAGCUCUGAUAGUAGGGCACUACUCAAAAAUAAUCAGCAAUGGCUGUUUAACAUUAUAGCUACCUGAGAAAAGUCAUAGUUGAGAAUAAAAAGAGUCUGAUAAAAAUAAAACAAAACCCUGAGAAAGAAAAAAUCUGUAAAUGAGAUAUUUACCCAGGGCUUUGAAAAAGCACCAACAUGUUACUGGAGGUUUAAAUGCUCUCAAGAAGGUACCAGGCAAUGUGUGCUCCCAGCUAAACCCCGAGAAGGUUCAACAGUACAUCUCAGGCUGCUCUCCAGGCUCCACGUGACCAUGGAAAGAAGGCUGAGCUACAACCGAAUGCUGCUCACUACAGCAUUGAAUGUGUGUCCCAGAUGUGAUGGAAAACUUCACGCAUCCAAGAAACUCAGUGAAUUCUAUGCAGGGUACAUGAGAGGGACCCACACCUACUCAAGAUUAUCAAAGCACCUAGAGAAGAGUGACUUAGCAUACAGAAGACACUCUCCGUAAGGCUAACAGCAAACAUCAGCCAUCAUGGAGACGAAGUAAAGAGAUGACAUAUUAAAAAUGCUGCAAGGGAAAAAGAACUGUUGACCAAUAAUUGCACAUUUAGCAAAACGCUUUCAAAAAUGAAAGAGAAGCUGGGCAUGGAAGAGGCUGAGGCAGUGAGAUCACAAGUUCAAGACAAACCUAGAUUACCCUCAAGGAAGAAAAAUUAUGACAUUCUCAAGUAACUGAUGCAUUCUUUUCUUGUAAGAUUGGUUUUAUAAGAAUCAUUAAAGGAUUCAGGCUGAAUGAAAGAACACUUGAUAUCAAUCUAAAGCCCCAUGAAGAAAUAAAUACCAGUGACACAAAUAGUAAGGAUUCUUCCACAUAAUUUAAGUGGUAACUGCAGAAAUAUUCGACUGUUGAUAUAAUUAUAGAGAUAUGCAAUUUGUAUGACAAUAACACAAGGAGGGAGAAGAAUGGGAGUACAUGUUGGAGCAAAAAUGUUCACACUAUUGAAAUGAAGUUUCUAGUAAUUAAAAUUAUAGUGCUUAAGUUAAGAUGUUAAUGGAACACCCUCCAGGCAACAACUGUGAGGAUAAUUCAAGCUAGAAAAAAACCAAGGAAUUUAAACGAGUAUUAAAAAUUGUUUUAUGAACAAGAAGGCAGUAAGAGAAACAUAAAGGAGCAAGAAGGACCUAGAAAACAAAUACUGAAAUGAAGGACAUAAGCCCAUUUAUAUGAGAGGUGACUCCAGGAUCCGUACACUAAGUAGACACUCUAGAACAAACUCACAUCCAAAGCUUCCAGGAAAUCCUAUCUCACCAGUAAUUACAUUAAACUUACUUGGGCUAAAUUUUCCAACCAAAUGUCAGAGACUAGGAUGGAGAGUUGGUUCGGCAGUCAUGCACACUUGUUGCUCUUUGGCUUCCACCACUCAUGUGGAAGCUCACAGUCAUCUAUAACUUCAGUUCCAGGGCAUGUGAUGCCCUCCUCUGACCUCUGAGGGCAGAGACACACAUGUGGUGCACAUACAUACAUGCAGGCAAAACCUAAAACACAUAAACAUAAGCAUAACAUUUUUUUUCAAGGCAGAAAUUGGCAUAAUGAAUAAAAAACUAUAGAAUUAGAGUUCAUUUGCAAGGCAUACUUAGAAUAAGAAAUACAAACAAAGCUGGACGCGAAAGAAUGGGGACAGAGGUACUGUGAAGAACAAGGAGACACAAGCCGGAGUGGCUUCUGCAGAGAUGGGAUGAAACAGCCUUCGGACAAAAACAUGCUGCUGGAAAGAAAGGACAUUUUAUGGUGAUACAAAGAUCAGUCCAUGAGGAGAACAUAAGAAUUAUAAAUGUAAGUGUACUUAAUAGAGCCUAAGCCCCAAAAUACACCCAACAAAACCUUACAGGUAAAAAUCUUUAAAGGGAAAUAGAUAAUCGAAGAGUAAUUUAACAUCCCACUUCCAGUCGUGGAUAAAACAAGCAGAUAGAAAGUUCACAAAGACGCAGAAAACUUGAACAAUACGCUGAGCCAAAUCUAAGAAAUUUCUAGAAGACUUUUACACAGCAAUAGUAGACUAUGUAUCCAUCCCAUAAUACAGGGAGCCUUCUUCAGGACCAGACCACACAGCAGGCCAUUGAAGAGCCCCCAAUUAGAGGGUUGAAAUCAUGUGCAGUCUGUUCUUUGGCUGAAAGAGAACAUAGUUAUUAUUCGUUUGUAGAAAGCAGGAACUUUUACCUAAGAAGAAAAAUUUUAAAAAUCCAUAAAUCAAGCUUAUGGCACAGGGCAAAAUGAAUAGUAAGGACGUCCAGGCUUCUUUUUGCUUUACAGCUGAAAGGUGGCAAACCAAGAGUUACCUCACUUGCUCCAAGUUAGAAACGUUCUUUCAGAAGUGACAGCGGAGUACAUGGCUGAGGUUGUGUUAGUGUUGAAGAAAUAUUGUAAAUUUAUAACUCUGGAACAAUCUUAGGAAUGCAAACUCGCACAUUUAUAAGUUACUCUGUUUAUAACUCAAUAAAACAAGAUAAAUGAUUAUGGA